CCUUAGCGGAGGAAAAGAAACCAACUGGGAUUACCUUAGUAACGGCGAGUGAAGCGGUAAAAGCUCAAAUUUGAAAUCUGGUACUUUCAGUGCCCGAGUUGUAAUUUGUAGAAUUUGUCUUUGAUUAGGUCCUUGUCUAUGUUCCUUGGAACAGGACGUCAUAGAGGGUGAGAAUCCCGUUUGGCGAGGAUACCUUUUCUCUGUAAGACUUUUUCGAAGAGUCGAGUUGUUUGGGAAUGCAGCUCAAAGUGGGUGGUAAAUUCCAUCUAAAGCUAAAUAUUGGCGAGAGACCGAUAGCGAACAAGUACAGUGAUGGAAAGAUGAAAAGAACUUUGAAAAGAGAGUGAAAAAGUACGUGAAAUUGUUGAAAGGGAAGGGCAUUUGAUCAGACAUGGUGUUUUUUGCAUGCACUCGCCUCUCGUGGGCUUGGGCCUCUCAAAAAUUUCACUGGGCCAACAUCAAUUCUGGCAGCAGGAUAAAUCAUUAAGAAUGUAGCUACUUCGGUAGUGUUAUAGCUUUUUGGAAUACUGUUAGCCGGGAUUGAGGACUGCGCUUCGGCAAGGAUGUUGGCAUAAUGGUUAAAUGCCGCCCGUCU
rnacentral:rRNA from 1 species